UGCUGUAGCUUAGUGGCGGACGGGUGAGUAACACGUGAGCAACCUACCUUUUGCAGGGGAAUAACUCUGGGAAACCAGAGCUAAUACCGCAUGUCGUGCACAUGGGGCAUCCCAGGUGCAUGAAAGGAGCAAUCCGGCAGAAGAUGGGCUCGCGUCUGAUUAGGUAGUUGGAGAGGUAAUGGCUCCCCAAGCCGACGAUCGGUAGCCGGACUGAGAGGUCGAUCGGCCACAUUGGGACUGAGACACGGCCCAGACUCC
rnacentral:rRNA from 1 species